CCACAAUCUUCUGGACAAAGUGGGCCUGGUGAGCAUGUGCAGCCUACCUGGGCC
ensembl:lncRNA CARS1-AS1 CARS1 antisense RNA 1